UACAGAGGGGGCAAGCGUUGUUCGGAAUUACUGGGCGUAAAGGGCGCGUAGGCGGCCUUCUAAGUCGAACGUGAAAUCCCUGGGCUUAACCCAGGAACUGCGUCCGAUACUGGGGGGCUUGAAUUCGGGAGAGGGAUGCGGAAUUCCAGGUGUAGCGGUGAAAUGCGUAGAUAUCUGGAGGAACACCGGUGGCGAAGGCGGCAUCCUGGACCGAGAUUGACGCUGAGGCGCGAAAGCCAGGGGAGCAAACGGG
rnacentral:rRNA from 1 species